rnacentral:rRNA from 1 species
CGGGUGGUAAUGCCGGAUGCUCCAGUUGACCGCAUGGUCCUCUGGGAAAGCUUUUGCGGUAUGGGAUGGGGUCGCGUCCUAUCAGCUUGAUGGCGGGGUAACGGCCCACCAUGGCUUCGACGGGUAGCCGGCCUGAGAGGGCGACCGGCCACAUUGGGACUGAGAUACGGCCCAGACUCCUACGGGAGGCAGCAGUGGGGAAUAUUGCACAAUGGGCGCAAGCCUGAUGCAGCGACGCCGCGUGCGGGAUGACGGCCUUCGGGUUGUAAACCGCUUUUGACUGGGAGCAAGCCCUUCGGGGUGAGUGUACCUUUCGAAUAAGCACCGGCUAACUACGUGCCAGCAGCCGCGGUAAUACGUAGGGUGCAAGCGUUAUCCGGAAUUAUUGGGCGUAAAGGGCUCGUAGGCGGUUCGUCGCGUCCGGUGUGAAAGUCCAUCGCUUAACGGUGGAUCCGCGCCGGGUACGGGCGGGCUUGAGUGCGGUAGGGGAGACUGGAAUUCCCGGUGUAACGGUGGAAUGUGUAGAUAUC